rnacentral:rRNA from 1 species
UACGUAGGGACCAAGCGUUGUUCGGAUUUACUGGGCGUAAAGGGCGCGUAGGCGGCAAUUCAAGUCAUCUGUGAAAUCUCCGGGCUUAACUCGGAACGGUCAGGUGAAACUGCUUUGCUAGAGUGCGGAAGGGGCAAUCGGAAUUCUCGGUGUAGCGGUGAAAUGCGUAGAUAUCGAGAGGAACACCUGCGGCGAAGGCGGGUUGCUGGGCUGACACUGACGCUGAUGCGCGAAAGCUAGGGGAGCGAACGGG